rnacentral:lncRNA from 1 species
AAAGAAGUUUGCGUGCAUCAUUUUCCCCCUCACCGUUGUGUUGAUUUUUUCUACAUAUUCUUUGAAGAGGCAAUUCCAACAAAAGAAUGUGUCCAAAGCCAUAAAAGCUUCACUGAAGGUCGCUGACACAAUCAACUGUGCUGCCCAGCCAAGCUCAUUCCUAUAAUGUGAAAGUGAAGAGAUGUGUCGCUGAUUUACGCCAAGAGAUGUGCACAGGUUAUUCCUAUAAUUAUCCGAUUUCCAUGAGGAAGGCCCCUCCUCAAUCUGUAACCUUCAUUGGGUAUGAGAACCUCAGUCUGUAAUCUUUAUCGGAUAUAUAAAUGAGUUUGCCCCGGCGAGAAAUGUAUUUCCAUCUUGUUCUUGUGUGGACAUUGAGCUUUUGAGUGUUGUUUAGUCGGACAUGUUAGGUGCAGUAAUUCCUGUAACCAAGAGCAGGUUAUAAUAUUAUAUGUUGAUUCUUGUAAGACGAUGUAACAGUGAGUGCAUUGGCGGACACAAAGGAAAUGAAAGAAACUCAAGUGUUUAUUCCAGAUGAGUUGUUGUUCCAGUAUUAUAAUUGCAGUGUGUAGCAAUUUUCCUAAUGCAAUCAUUACUAAAUAAAUAUUUAGGCAUUAACACGCAAUUGCUCAUUUUCAGCUGACCAACUUAAACAUGUUUCUAAUUCACUACUGUAUAGUUAAGGAAUUUUUUUCUAUUUGGAAAGAGAAAAGUCCACUUUUCAACCUACAAGUUACUAAUUGGUUUAAGAACGAGUUAAAUACAACAUGGGUGUCUUAACUUGUCCGUUGCGAUCAGUUUAGUGCCCAAACUUGUAAAAUACACAAAAGUGGUAUUAUAUGCAUAUAUAGUAUCACUGUUUGUAGCCAGCUGGUGCCUGGCCCACAUGUCUGUGGGUGUGAGGGUCGCCUGCGCAGGCUGAGAUGCAUGUGAGUUUUCUUUGCAAAAAAACACCAUGAGGUUUAAUUUAAUGUCGCAAAAGCCCUUAUUCUGUAUGCUAAUAACAUUGGAAAAAUAUAUUGCGUCAUUGAAUGGGUUACGAACCUGGGACUUCAGGUUAAAUAGCAUGCACGCUAGCCAGCCGGACGAACAGCACUUUGUGUACAUGCUAUGCGCCAGGUACUUGGUUUGAAUCCUGCCGGCACGCCCUUUUCUUUCUUGUUACUAUCUCAUCCCACGUGCUAACAUGUGGGAACAAUACAGUUCGACAUAUUUAAAUAAAAUGUGAAGAGCUUUUGUGACAUUUAAUUAAAGUACAUGUCGUUUUCUGUAAAAACAACCAGCACGCUCCUCUCAUAGCCAUUGACAUGUGGGCCAACGGUACAUUUACAUACCAUAGGGGCAGUGCAUACGGCCGGGUACGGACGGAGGCAACGUAUUCGAACGCUCGGACAAGUUACAACAUCAGUUUCAUGUAUUUUAUAAGUUUGGCAUCAAAGUGACCGCGUCGGACAAGUAAAGGCACUGAUGGUGUAUUUAACUCUUUAAGAAUCAAAUCUCAACUUCAAAACCUAUUACUGCACACCUAAACUUUCAAUACUGUUGGUAACUUGAGGGUUGAAAAGUGGACUUUUCUAGUAAGGAAACAAAGAUGACUUUGCUUUGUAUAAGUUCUCACAACUGUGUUGUAACUUGAGCUGUGAGCACACAGAAGUGGUACAUUGCUCUGCAUUUACGCUGACUAAAACGCACGUUUAUGAACGAAAUAAACGCUUCACUAACGAGGCCCUCAGUUAAUCAUUCGUCUAAUGGCUGAUGGGCAAUGUUUAGCUAGGGUGUUGCAAGCGAGGACGCAAACAAAUGCAAUGCCCAGAUCUAGUGGUUCGUAGGAGAGAGGUGGGCUGAUAUCGAUGCAUGCCAUAGAAAAUCCAUCUGCUAGAGUCAAAUUUCAUGUGGGAAAAGACACCUUUACUAACUUUACAGAUGAUGUCUACAGUAGAUGCACAGUAGAUGCACGUGAACUUGUGAUAGACCGACUGAGGGCAUCUUCAAUAGUUAUGAUGUUGUCGUUGAUAAAGUAUAUAUCCUAUAAAAUAAUGUGUAUGGGAUGAUGUAGCGGAGAAUAAAGUAGAAUAGCGUGGUACAGAUGCACAUGCUCAUAAACUGUACAAGUCUAUAGUGAAUAAUGUGAACUUGUGACGGACCGACUAAGGGCAUCUUCAAUAGUUAUGCAAUAUUUCCUACAUAUACAUAUAGAUGUGCAUUACAUGUUAAUAUACUUUUAUUAAAAAAUGUGUGAUCUAAAAAAGAUACAAUUUGGUAGGCACAUAAUUUCUUAAGAUUUCAAAGUGUAUUUUUAUCUUUCAGAAAGAAAAGGGCCUCCAUGCAACUUGUGAUCUAUUCCUUAUUUUUUUGCGUGCAAGCCAUGCUUUUUGGUUAAUGUCUAAGGAUAUCUUGUAUGUAAAAUAUUCCUAUAUAGUUUUUGUCAAAAUCAAUGGAGACACAACUUAACCAACCUCCACACAAAUAUAUAUGUACUAGCUUUGUCCAUUUGUUCUAAAUUAAUAUGUAAAAUAGCUACUCCAUUUGUUCUAAAUUAAUAAGAGUUCUAGCUUUGUCCGCUCUAUAGAAAAAUAUACUAGUAUAUAUACCACAUCAAAUGUAUAUGCUAUGAAAGUAUAUUUCAUGCUGAAUCAAUGAAACUAUCUUGACGUUAUAAAUGUUGAUACAUCUUUCUAUAGACUUGGUCAAAGUAAAAGAAGUUUGGUUUUUGACAAAACUAGAAUUUUAAUUAAUUUAGAACAGAUGGAGUAUGACCUGCGGGGCUUAGGAGGAAAAAUUGCAUCACCGAUUCACCGUGGCUAUGACCCAAACACCUUGCUAACACCGAGUGGCAAUACCGAGUUGUCUUUUAACCAAGCAGGCCCACAAUGUUUUAAUGCCUUUGAAGUUAGAAUUGUGUUUUGUAUUCCCUAAAUUAUACUCGCUCCGUCCCAAAAUAAGUGUUUGAACUUUGUACUAGCUCUAGUACAAAUUUGUACUAAGCUCGAGACACUUAUUUUGAGACGGAGGGAGUAUUUUGUACUCCCAUUGCUCCAUGGUGCACAGAUGUUAAACAUGUCACAUAAGUGAAAAAACGACAUGGCAAAACAGUUGAGGAGAGAGAACACUUUGAUGAUUCUAGAAAGAGACAAUGCCAAAUGCGUGAACCUAUGCAAAACACUUAAAUGAAGGAAGCUCGCUAAUGUAUGGAAGAGUUUAGUUGCUAAAUAACUAAAUGAAGAUAACUUAUUGAUACGCAUCCAAUGUAUAUAUAAUUUUUUUAUUGUUUCAUGCUACUAUAUUAUUAAUUUUUUAUGCUUUAUACGCCAUUUUAUAUCAUUUUUGGGAAUUAACUUAUUAACUCAGUGCCUACUGCCAGUUCAUGUUUUUUUGCCUAUUUCUUUGUUUCUUAGAAGAACCAUACCAAAAGAAGUCCAAACACGAUGAAACUUUAUGGUAAUUUUUUAUGGACCAGAAGAUACCCUAGAAGCUAAGGGGAGGUCUAGAAGACCUACCAGAGGCCCACAAGCUCAGGUGGCGUGCCCCCCCAAGCUUGUGGGCUCCUCGAGGCUCCGUUUGCCCUAAUUCUGGCGCUACAAAUUCCCUAAAAUCUAGAAACCCCAGAGUGAGACCCAAAACAUUUUUAUCGCCACCGCAAGCCUUUGUUCUUGUGCGAUCUUGAUACAUCCAUUUUGCAUCAUGCUUUUAUAUCGAUAUUUAUUGCAUUAUGGGUUGUCAUUUCACGUUAUGUCACAAUACUUAUGGCUAUUCUCUCUUAUUUUACAAGGUUUACAUGAAGAGGGAGAAUGCCAGCAGCUGGAAUUCUGGGCUGAAAAAGGAGCAAAUAUUGGAGGCCUAUUCUGUGCAACUCCAAAGGUCCUGAAACUCCAUAGAAUACCUUAAAAUAAAUAAAGAAAAAUUGUCGCCAAAUAUGAAGGCCAGGGGGCCCACACCCUGCUCAUGAGGGUGGGGGGCGCCCCCCCUGGGCGCGCCCCCUACCUCGUGGGCCCCCUGGUGGCUCUCUGACGCCCUUCUUCUCCUAUAUGAAGUCUUUCGAUGAGAAAAAAAUACGAAGCAACCUUUCGGGACGAGACUCCGCCGCCACGAGGCGGAACCUUGGCGGAACCAAUCUAGGGCUCCGGUAGAGCUGUUCUGCCGGGGACACUUCCCGCCGGGAGGGGGAAAUCAUCACCAUCGUCAUCACCAACGCUCCUCUCAUUGGGAGAGGGCAAUCUCCAUCAACAUCUUCACCAGCACCAUCUCAUCUCCAAACCCUAGUUCAUCUCUUGUAUCCAAUUCUUGUCUCCAAGUCCGGAUUGGUGCUAGUAGGUUGCUAGUAGUGUUGAUUACUCCUUGUAGUUGAUGCUAGUUGGUUUAUUUGGUGGAAGAUCAUAUGUUCAAAUCCUUUAUGCACAUUAUUACCCCUCUGAUUAUGAACAUGAAUAUGCUUUGUGAGUAGUUACGUUUGUUCCUGAGGACAAGGGAGAAGUCUUGCUAUUAGUAGUCAUGUGAAUUUGGUAUUCGUUCGAUAUUUUGAUAAGAUGUAUGUUGUCUAACCUCUAGUGGUGUUAUGUGAACGUCGACUACAUAACACUUCACCAUUAUUUGGGCCUAGAGGAAGGCAUUGGGAAGUAGUAAGUAGAUGAUGGGUUGCUAGAGUGACAGAAGCUUAAACCCUAGUUUAUGCGUUGCUUCGUAAGGGGCCGAUUUGGAUCCAUAUGUUUCAUGCUAUGGUUAGGUUUACCUUAAUACUUUUGUUGUAGUUGCGCAUGCUUGCAAUAGAGGUUAAUCAUAAUUGGGAUGCUUGUUCAAGUAAGAACAACACCCAAGCACUGGUCCACCCACAUAUCAAACUAUCAAAGUACCGAACGCGAAUCAUAUGAGCGCGAUGAAAACUAGCUUGACGAUAUUCCCAUGUGUCCUCGGGAGCGCUUUUCCUAUUAUAAGAGUUUGUCCAGGCUCAUCCUUUGCUACAAAAAGGAUUGGGCCAUCUUGCUGCACUUUAUUUACACUUGUUACUUGUUGCUUGUUACAAUUUAUCUUAUCACAAAACUAUCUGUUACCACUUAUUUCAGUACUUGCAGAGAAUACCUUACUGAAAACCGCUUAUCAUUUCCUUCUGCUCCUCGUUGGGUUCGACACUCUUACUUAUCGAAAGGACUACGAUAGGUCCCCUAUACUUGUGGGUCAUCAAGACUCUUUUCUGGCGCCGUUGCCGGGGAGUGAAGCGCCUUUGGUAGGUGGAAUUUGGUAAGGAAAAAUUUAUUUAGUGUGCUGAAAUUUUCUGUCACUUGUUACUAUGGAAAGUAAUUGUCUGAGGGGCUUGUUCGGGGUAUCUUCACCCCGUCCAGUAGAGCAAAGGGUUGCUCCUCAACCUACUCAACUUACUGAACCUAUUGAAAAUGAAACUCCUUUUGAGAUUCCUUCGGGUUUGAUGGAAAAACUGCUAGCUAACACUUUUACAGGAGAUGGAACAAAGCAUCCUGAUGAACAUCUACGCUAUGUGGAUGAUGUUUGUGGACUAUUUAAGCUUGCAGGUAUACCCGAUGAUGUUGUUAAGAAGAAGGCUUUCCCUUUAUCUUUGAAGGGAGACACAUUGACAUGGUACAGGCUAUGUGAUGAUAUGAGAUCAUGGAACUAUAAAAGAUUGAAAUUGGAAUUUCAUCAAAAGUAUUACCCUAUGCAUCUUGUUCAUCGUGAUCGCAAUUAUAUAUAUAAUUAUUGGCCUCGCGAAGGAGAAAGCAUCGCUCAAGCUUGGGGGAGGCUUAAAUCAAUGUUAUAUUCAUGCCCCAAUCAUGAGCUCGCAAGAGAAGUGAUUAUGCAAAGUUUUUAUGCUCGGCUUUCUGAAAACAAUCGCACCAUGCUCGAUACUUCUUGUGCUGGCUCUUUUAUGAUGAAGACUAUUGAAUUUAGAUGGAAUUUAUUGGAUAGAAUUAAAUGCAACUCUGGAGAUUGGGACCUCGACGAAAGUAAGGAGUCAGGUAUGACACCUAAGUUUGAUUGUGUUAAAUCUUUUAUGAAUACCGAUAUUUUUCGUAAGUUUAGCACUAAACAUGGACUUGAUUAUGAGAUAGUAGCUUCUUUCUGUGAAUCUUUUGCUACUUAUGUUGAUCUCCCCAAGGAGAAGUGGUUUAAAUAUUAUCCUCCCAUAGAAGUAAAAGUAGCUGCACCUAUUAAAGUUGAAGAAAAGACUGUCACGUAUAAUGAUCCUAUUGUUCCCAUUUCUUAUGUUGAGAAACCACCUUUCCCCGUUAGAGUGAAGGAUCAUGCUAAAGCUUCAACUGUUGUCCAUAAAAGCAAUAUUAGAACUUAUACACCUCCUGAGCAAGUCAAAGUAGAACCCAAUAUUUCUAUUGUUAAAGAUCUCUUGUAUGAUAAUAUUGAUGGACAUGUUAUUCAAUUCCAGGGUGAAACUGCUAGAAUUGCUAAACCUUGUGAUAGAGAUAAACAUAGACCUGUGGUAGGCGUGCCUGUUAUUUCUGUUAAAAUAGGAGAUCAUUGUUAUCAUAGCUUGUGUGAUAUGGGUGCUAGUGCUAGUCUUAUACCCAUUGUCUUAUACAAAGAAAUUAUGCAUGAUAUUGCACCUGCUGAGUUAGAAGAUAUUGAUGUUACAAUUAAACUUGCCAAUAGAGAUAUUAUAUUUGCAAUGGGAAUUGUUAGAGAUGUUGAAGUCUUGUGUAGGAAAACCAAAUAUCCCACUGAUUUUCUUGUUCUUGGUUCUCCACAAGAUAGCUUUUGUCCCAUUAUAUUUGGUAGACCCUUCUUGAAUACUAUUAAUGCUACGAUAGACUGCAAAAAGAAUGUUAUUACUGUUGGCUUGGAUGAUAUGGUUCAAGAGUUUAAUUUCUCUAAAUUUAGUAAACAACAUCGUGAGGAAGAAUUGCCUAGUAAGGACGAAAUUAUUGGUAUUGCUUCUAUUGCCGUACCUCCUAGUGAUCCUUUAGAACAAUAUUUGGUAGACCAUGAAAAUGAUAUGUUCAUGAAUGAAAGAAGGGAAAUAGAUGAGGUAUUCUUUAAACAGGAACCUAUUCUGCAACACAAUUUUCCUGUUGAAAUUCUAGGGGAUCCUCCUCCACCCAAGGGACCGUUGCCUGAUAAUCUUAAAUAUGCUUAUCUUGAUGAAAAGAAAAUAUAUCCUGUUAUUAUUAGUGCUAAUCUUUUAGAGCAUGAAGAAGAAAGAUUAUUGAAAACUCUGAAGAAGCACCGUGCUGCUAUUGGAUAUACUCUGGAUGAUCUUAAGGGCAUCAGUCCCACUCUAUGUCAACAUAAAAUAAAUUUGGAAGCUGAUGCCAAACCAGUUUGUGAUCUUCAAUGACGUUUGAAUCCUAAAAUGAAAGAAGUGGUAAGAAAGGAAAUACUCAAGCUUCUGGAGGCAGGUAUAAUUUAUCCCGUUGCUGAUAGUCAGUUGGCAAGUCCUGUCCAUUGUGUCCCUAAGAAGGGAUGUAUUAUUGUUGUCCCUAAUGAUAAAGAUGAAUUGAUUCCGCAAAGAAUCAUCACAGGUUAUAGGAUGGUAAUUGAUUUCCACAAAUUAAAUAAGGCUACUAAGAAAGAUCAUUACCCCUUACCUUUUAUUGAUCAAAUGCUAGAAAGAUUAUGCAAACAUACACACUAUUGCUUUCUAGAUGGUUAUUCCGUUUUUUCUCAAAUACCUGUGUUGGCUAAAGAUCAAUCAAAGACUACUUUUACAUGCCCUUUUGGUACUUUUGCUUAUAGACGUAUGCCUUUCGGUUUAUGUAAUGCACCUGCUACCUUUCAAAGAUGCAUGAUGGCUAUAUUCUCUGACUUUUGCGAGAAAAUUUGUGAGGUUUUCAUGGACGACUUUUCCGUCUAUGGUUCCUCUUUUGAUGAUUGCUUGAGCAAUCUUGCUCGAGUUUUGCAGAGAUGUGAAGAAACUAAUCUUGUCUUGAAUUGGGAAAAGUGCCACUUUAUGGUUAAUGAAGGUAUUGUCUUGGGGCACAAAGUUUCUGAAAGAGGUAUUGAAGUUGAUAAAGCCAAGGUUGAUGCUAUUGAAAAGAUGCCAUGUCCCAAGGACAUCAAAGGUAUAAGAAGUUUCCUUAGUCACGCCGGAUUUUAUAGGAGGUUCAUUAAGGACUUCUCAAAAAUCUCUCGGCCUGUGACUAAUUUAUUACAAAAAGAUGUAUCAUUUGUCUUUGAUGAUGAUUGUGUAGAAGCAUUUGAAAUACUUAAGAAAGCAUUAGUCUCUGCACCUGUUGUUCAACCACCUGAUUGGAAUUUACCCUUUGAAAUUAUGUGUGAUGCUAGUGAUUAUGCUGUAGGUGUUGUUCUAGGGCAAAGAGUUGAUAAGAAAUUAAAUGUUAUCCAUUAUGCUAGUAAGACUCUAGACAGUGCUCAAAGAAAUUAUGCUACUACCGAAAAGGAACUUUUAGCAGUUGUGUUUGCUUGUGAUAAGUUUAGACCUUAUAUUGUUGAUUCCAAA